UACGUAGGGGGCUAGCGUUGUCCGGAAUCAUUGGGCGUAAAGCGCGUGUAGGCGGCCCGGUAAGUCCGCUGUGAAAGUCGAGGGCUCAACCCUCGAAUGCCGGUGGAUACUGUCGGGCUAGAGUACGGAAGAGGCGAGUGGAAUUCCUGGUGUAGCGGUGGAAAUGCGCAGAUAUCAGGAGGAACACCGGUGGCGAGGCGGGUCUCUGGGCCGAUACUGACGCUGAGGAGCGAAAGCGUGGGGAGCGAACAGG
rnacentral:rRNA from 1 species